rnacentral:rRNA from 1 species
UUCCGGUUGAUCCUGCCGGACCCGACUGCUAUCAGAGUGAGAUUAAGCCAUGCGAGUUAACGUAGCAAUACGUGGCGCACGGCUCAGUAACACGUAGUCAACAUGCCCAGAGGACGUGGAUAACCUCGGGAAACUGAGUCUAAACCGCGAUAAGUGAGGAUUUCUGGAAUGGUUCCUGACUAAAAUCUAUAUAGCCUCUGGAUUGGACUGCGGCCGAUCAGGCUGUUGGUGAGGUAAUGGCCCACCAAACCUGUAACCGGUACGGGCUCUGAGAGGAGGAGCCCGGAGAUGGGCACUGAGGCAAGGGCCCAGGCCCUAUGGGGCGCAGCAGGCGCGAAACCUCUGCAAUAGGCGAAAGCUUGACAGGGUUACUCUGAGUGAUUUCCGCUAAGGGAAUCUUUUGGCACCUCUAAAAAUGGUGCAGAAUAAGGGGUGGGCAAGUCUGGUGUCAGCCGCCGCGGUAAUACCAGCACCCCGAGUGGUCGGGACGAUUAUUGGGCCUAAAGCAUCCGUAGCCGGUCCUGCAAGUCUUCCGUUAAAUCCAGCUGCUCAACAGAUGGGCUGCGGGAGAUACUACAGGGCUAGGAGGCGGGAGAGGCAAGCGGUACUUUAUGGGUAGGGGUAAAAUCCGCUGAUCCAUAGAAGACCACCAGUGGCGAAGGCGGCUUGCCAGAACGCGCUCGACGGUGAGGGAUGAAAGCUGGGGGAGCAAACCGGAUUAGAUACCCGGGUAGUCCCAG